rnacentral:rRNA from 1 species
AUUGAACGCUGGCGGCAUGCUUUACACAUGCAAGUCGAACGGUAACAGCACUUCGGUGGCUGACGAGUGGCGAACGGGUGAGUAAUGUAUCGGAACGUGCCCAGUAGUGGGGGAUAACUACUCGAAAGAGUGGCUAAUACCGCAUGAGAUCUCUGGAUGAAAGCGGGGGACCGUAAGGCCUCGCGCUACUGGAGCGGCCGAUAUCAGAUUAGGUUGUUGGUGGGGUAAAGGCCUACCAAGCCUGCGAUCUGUAGCUGGUCUGAGAGGACGACCAGCCACACUGGGACUGAGACACGGCCCAGACUCCUACGGGAGGCAGCAGUGGGGAAUUUUGGACAAUGGACGCAAGUCUGAUCCAGCAAUGCCGCGUGCAGGACGAAGGCCUUCGGGUUGUAAACUGCUUCUGUACGGAACGAAAAGCCUUCUUCUAAUACAGGAGGGUCAUGACGGUACCGUAAGAAUAAGCACCGGCUAACUACGUGCCAGCAGCCG